rnacentral:ncRNA from 1 species
CCACUCUGGAGAAUCUCUUAAAUGAGUGCCGAAGGGGCAACGCGUUGAACGCUGAAUCUCUCAGGCCAAAGGACAGAGUAC